UUGAUGGCACGAGUAGAAAUUAGACUAAGCAUACUUAUCUUCCAUCAUCUUGUAAUAGUAAUGAUAAUCAUUUAAUUGUUUUUUUCUUCUUUUUCUGGACUAGUUCAGGUGGUGGAAAGGUAGGCAAAUAAAGGAGGGAAAAAAAAAGAACCUAGAGGGAGAAGGUAAGGCAGGUUUAAAGAGAAAACAACACCCAAAUGUAAUAAAAAACUAGUUCAAGGUAGUAGAUUAAACACUGAUAAAAACAAAAAUCUAUGAAAAUGAUGAGCCUUCAAUCGAAGAAAUAACUAGAACAAACAGGCAGUCAAUUCUAGGCAAGGAAGGCAACAUCAUGGAGAGAGGAAAUUCGUAAGGAAAAAAACAAAACAGCACACAAUCAUACAGUAGAUUGAGUGAUUCAUAGGGAGUGCGAUGAAACUUUAUGAAAAAAGCAAUUCCAAUUCUAAGAGUAAUUUAUCAAAGAAAGGCUUGAGGUUUGUAAACCAUUAGCAACGAAAACCUACAAGGAUCAAUUAUUGUGUACAAGAGAAAACUGAAAUCAAAUUUCCCCUUUAACCGAAGCUUAAGAAACGAAAAACAAGUAAAAAUGAACAAGAAAAUAAAAGAAGGAUCAAAUAAAUUGAGAAAAACUUAAACAAUUGUGCUUUAAAAGAAAAUGUAGCCACCAAUAAAGCUGGAGAGAGCCAAGAAAAAAGCCUAUAAAUAAAUAGUUUUAAAAGAGAAGCAUAAUUAAGGCAAGGCAGGACUAGCGUAGGCAGUUGCAAGAGGUCACAAACUAUGUACAGGACAACAUAAGAAGGGAAAAUAUUACAUCAUAUCGAAAGCCAUCACAUCAGAGCUAGAUGGUUUGGCAAGGGGAUUAACAAUCUAGGGAAGAAAGAGAGGCAGCACAUGAGAGAAUAGGGGAAAACAUAGGGGAAGAAUGCUUGAAAUCCUUAACAUGUAGCAAGAUAGGG